UGAAUACGAGACGCUAAGGCGUCGAAGUAGUGUAUGUCAUACUUCCAAGAAAAGCUUGCACUGUCAUAGAUAAAAAACGCCUGUACCAUAACCGACACAGGUGGGUAGGUAGAGUAUACUAAGGGGCGCGAGAUAACUCUCUCUAAGGAACUCGGCAAAAUAACUCCGUAACUUCGGGAGAAGGAGUGCCUUAUUCGUAAGGUUGCAAUAACAAGAUCCAAGCAACUGUUUAUCAAAAACACAGGUCUCCGCUAAGUCGUAAGACGAUGUAUGGGGGCUGACGCCUGCCCAGUGCCAGAAGGUUAAAGAAGUUGGUUAGCAAUUGCGAAGCUGAUAACUGAAGCCCUGGUGAACGGCGGCCGUAACUAUAACGGUCCUAAGGUAGCGAAAUUCCUUGUCGGGUAAGUUCCGACCCGCACGAAAGGCGUAAUGAUUUGGAUACUGUCUCGGAGAGGGGCUCGGUGAAAUAGACUUGUCUGUGAAGAUGCGGACUACCUGCACCAGGACAGAAAGACCCUAUGAAGCUUUACUGUAACUUGAAAUUGAAAUUGGACUUUAUUCGCGCAGUAUAGGUGGGAGGCGUUGAUUAUAAUCUUGUGGGAUUAUUGGAGCCAUCAGUGAGAUACCACUCUUGUAAUGUUAGAUUUCUAACUUUGAAUCAUUAUCUGGUCAAAGAACAGUUUCAGGCGGGCAGUUUGACUGGGGCGGUCGCCUCCUAAACGGUAACGGAGGCGUACAAAGGUUUCCUCUGAACGGUUAGAAAUCGUAUCUAGAGUGUAAAGGCAUAAGGAAGCUUGACUGUGAGACCUACAAGUCGAGCAGGGACGAAAGUCGGUCUUAGUGAUCUGACGGUACUGAGUGGAAAGGCCGUCACUCAACGGAUAAAAGUUACUCUAAGGAUAACAGGCUGAUCUCCCCCAAGAGUUCACAUCGACGGGGAGGUUUGGCACCUCGAUGUCGGCUCAUCGCAUCCUGGGGCGGUAGUACGUCCCAAGGGUUGGGCUGUUCGCCCAUGAAAGCGGUACGCGAGCUGGGUUCAGAACGUCGUGAGACAGUUCGGUCCAUAUCCGGUGUAGGCGUUAGAAUAUUGAGAGGAGCCUUCUUUAGUACGAGAGGACCGAGAAGGACAUACCUCUGGUGUACCAGUUAUCGUGCCAACGGUAAACGCUGGGUAGCUAUGUAUGGAGUGGAUAACCGCUGAAAGCAUCUAAGUGGGAAGCCCACCUCAAGAUAAGUAUUCUCACC
rnacentral:rRNA from 1 species